CGGGAGCAUCCAGAGGCCGAACCGGGAGGGGUAGGGGUAGCGAGUGAGAGAGACUGUCAGUCUUGAGCUACCGUGGUGCAGACUGGGUUUAAAAGCUAGGACUAGGCCUGUCCACAGCUGUGGAUGAGAGCAGCGGAGCGGGAGGUUGGGGACUGCUUUGGAUCAGCAACCUAGCGCGCACCGCCGAGUGGCGAGGUCCAGAGCGCUGAGAUUGUGCGUCUUUAUCUCUGAACUCCAGGCGACCCCACUGAUUCCAGGCAGAGCACCUCUUCCCCGCCCAGCUUCUCUACCCUGGGGUCCCACGGGAUCUUCAUAGCAGGGCGCUAGGACCCAGCAGGGAGCGGAGGCGGCCGCUAACCCGGGAGCCCGGAGGACCUGGCCGGUCGGUCCGCUCUGGCUGGAAAACUUUCUUUUUAAUUACGUCUCCAGGUGGGCACUAAUCUCCAUAGCCCGGGCGUCCAGUUCCUGGCUACAGAGUCUGAGCACCCACUGGGAACACCCUGUCGGUUCCUCGAGAUUCUCCAGCCGCCUGCAGUCUCUCAACUGUGGGUAGGAGUUUGCCUGCUCAGGCUCCCCAGCCACGUGGCGUCCGGCUCAUUCUCCACCUGGAUUGCGGCCGCGGAGGUCGGGAGCAGUUGGGGCCUGGUGAGCACCCAAGUCUCUCCUUUUUGCACCCGAGGAGUCUUUUGCGGCUUCUUGAGCUGAGGCCUGACAUCUUCCCGAGCCCCGUUUGUCUGCCUUCCAGGCUGGGGGGUCCCCUUUUCUGAGACUCCAGGGUGUGCAGGUUAAGACCCUCUAUGCAAUGGCCCUCUUAGCCCUGGAAAGGCGCUGCGCUCUGCCCAGGAGGCUCGAGGAGGCGCGGCUAACAACUCACUCAGUUGGGGAGGCCCUCUGCUUCCACUGUGGUUACAGUAAAGAACCGACUUCGUCUGGAGGACGCAUCCUGUACUUUAAUCAAAUUCCCAUUCAACAUAUUCUCGGUGAUUAAUGUCCCAACUGCUUCAUUUUCGGGCCAGAGCGCAUAAACAAGAUAUUUUUAGCUUGAUGCUUUUGAAAGGAAAGAGUAAAAAGCAGAUACACUAAAUAAAUAACUUAGUGUGA